AUAAUCUUUGUACCGGGAUGCUUUUGGAAACCUCGGGUUGGUUUUCUUUUUUGUUCCGAGUGUUAUCCAGAAUAAGGCAGAAGGAAUUUAGGAAAUAUUCAGCAUAAAACAGGAGAAACAUCGGGGAAGAAAUGCUGACUCCGGACCAACAAAAGAGAUGAAAAUCCAGAGAGUUGGUGAAUAAUGUGGCUCAAAGUUGAUCGAAUUUUCCUAAUAAUAUGGCCGGUAUUUAUCCAUUUAUCAUCAUAAUUGUAGUCCAUGGAAGAGAAACACAGAUUGUCUGUGCUUGCUCUAUUACCAGAAGCGAAUGAUUUUUAUUUACAUGAUUGUUUACCACUUGGCUACAGCUCUAAAAUCGAAUGUAAACCAGGUGACCGUUCAAUCCUCCAAUUACAAACACGACCUCGUCCGGAGAGCAGAAAAGCUUCGCUCGGUCGACCUUUUGCAAAAAGAUUUACAUAGAAGAGUCGUGUUCAAUCAGAUCAGACGGAUUGCACCCUGUAGUGUGUAGCUGCCUUGCUCCAGUAAUAAUGUGGUUUAUUUCGAAUGAGCAAUGGCUUUCUGCUUCCGACAUGAUGAGCUGUCACUAAAGCUGGGCAACUGAUCCAUCACUGGGGUUUCGGGUGAAUCAUGAAGUUCACACAAUCCAAGAAAUGGAAAGGAUUUUUUUUUUUAAUGCCAGAAUGACACAAUGUUAACCUCUAUCCCAUGAUUCUCAGACAUUUUUGACCAUUAAACUUCACCUCGUCCUCCACCAGAUUCUAUAAUAAAGGUAAAUGACUCAUAAAUGACUCAUAGAGUCAAUAAGAGUUUUAAAAAUGGACAAUUAUUGCUGAUGGGUCUGUAAUUUAGGCAUGACAUUAAUGUGCUAUGAUUGGACUUCUGAUCCGAAUCGCUGAGGUGAGGAACAAAAAUAGGGCAUUGUCGCCAUCUAGUGGUCAGUUUCCAUGCCAUGUGCUUAGGUCCUUUGUGCAUCAUCAUCAUCAUAGUAAACCCUUUAUAUAGCAAAUUCCAUACAUUAAAAUGUAUGUUGAAGUGUUUUUUUUGUUUUGUUUUUGUUUUUUUUUACUGUGUGUGUGGAGGUUCUGUGAAUGUUUUCCCCCUCCAGUCCACAUGGGUUUCCUCCCAGCUUCCAAAAGCAUUCCAGUAGAUUGGUUCAGUGUAUUGGCUACACCCAAUUACCCCUAGCUGCGAUUGUGUGUGUGUGUGUGUGUGUGUGUUUGUGUGUGUAUAUGGUGCCCUCUCAUCCAAGGUGAAUUCCAGCUUCACACCUGGAGUGCUUCUCAUUUCUUAUUUGUGCAUCCUCAUUUCUUUUCCUCACUUCCUUUCCUUGCAUCUUAGCUCCACCCCCUUAGGAUGCGAGGGAAGGAUGCAAGGAUGAGAUGCGAGGAGAGAGGAACCAAAGCAAGUCGAAUGGAAUAUCCUCGCUCUCUCAAGCGUCACUUCAAAGCGACGUCCAUUGCUGUUGUCUGUGCUCACACAGAUGACCUCACUGCGCUUCAGGGAUCUGCCGUUAUGUUGUCAGAGUUUGGUUAAUAACAACAUUCUUAAUAAAGCAAAAUGCACUGAUAGUAUGUGAAAUAUCUGGGUUAUUCAACAAUUAAUUAAUGAACGAUACAUCAUUUAUUGUAUCUUUUGUGCAGCUUUGCCUAUCCAAACAUGCAAGGAUCAAUUAAUUACAAUACUCAUAAUUGUAUUUAUAUUAAUUGUACAUAUAUUAUUAUUAUUAUUGAAUUAUAUUUCACACAAAAUUC
ensembl:lncRNA